rnacentral:lncRNA from 1 species
AGUUCCCAGGUUAGGGGUCAAUUUGGAUCUGCAACUGCAAGCCUGUGCCACAGCCACAGCAAAGUGGGAUCCAAACUGCAUCUGUGACCUACACCACAGCUCAUGGAAAUGCAGGAUCUUUAACCCACUGGGCCAGGGAUCUAAUCUGUGUCCUCAUGGAUGCUACUCAGGUUCACUACUACUGAGCUACAAUGGGAACUCGCUGUUAUGAGAUUUCUGAAGGUCAACCUGAAUAGGUUGAAUACUGAGGAUUUUAUUUAAUAGAAAACAUGAUGAAAAACAGUAUGUAUAUAUGGGAAAUAUUUCAACAAAAGAUGACACUUAAGUAUAGUUUUCAUUAUAAUGAGAAACCUGAAACUAUUAAGAAUUAGUGAUGAAGCACAAAAAGCACAGAGGUUAAAAACCAAAGAGAUAUAUUUAGCAGUGAACUUACUUUCUGUGGUAAUCAUUUCACAGUAUAUACAUAUAUCAAAUUAUUAUAUUAUACACCUGAAAUGAACACAGUGCUAUAUGUAAAUUAUACCUAAAAUAAUAAAAAAUCCACUAAUGUGCCUUUUCUAUUUCAAAUCUGUGAUUUGAUGUUAAAGCGGACAUGGACAGUAACAGGAACAGUGAACUGAAAAGCACCCUUCCCACUGAGACAAUGAAGAUCUAUAAAAUAUAUUUUUUAAAAGUGAUGUUAGAAAGUGCCUUUUGCUGGUCAUCUGUUUCAUCUUGCACUGUGGCCAAAAUAAGGAGCAUUUACUCUGAUUUUUUUUCAUGGUUUCCAGUAAGAAAUUACUCUCUAAUUCCAUCACUGCAUUCAGGAUGCUAAGUAAACCUGCAGAGACACACUCCGUGAAGGAGUUCAAGAGGCCAAGUGAUCAAUUAUUUGCCAAAGGAGCAGACUAUUGCUUACUUGCCUACAGUCCUUUAAAGAAAACAAGAAAAAUUAACAAGGGAAGAACAGUGAAGAAAUUGAAAAGGUCCCAGAGUGUAUCAAGCAUCUACAAAACAAUUUAAUUUUCUCAGCAAAGAUGUUGCAAAUGGUAAUGAAUAAAUCAUGUCCCUAUUUGUUAAUAUGCUCCAUCAGGUUCCUUGUUUUGAGGGAAAACAAGGACUCUGCAGAUGGAGUAUUUCCCUUUAUUUAGCAGUAAAACUUCUCAACAUUUUUACUUCUCAUUAAUACUUUGUUACCAUUUUCGUAUUUCAAGUUAAAAGAUCAAAUCAAGUCACAUUAUCCACAAUUUAGUACAAUGAAUAUUUACUGAGCACUUACCAUGUGCCCGGUAAUGGUCUAGGUGAUUGAGAUGCAAUGGUGAAUAAACAAAGAUCCCUUUCUCAGGGAGCUUAUAGUCCAAUGGUGAAAGGUAGUACACUAUAAAUGUAACAAAUAAAAGGCAAUUUUUAGUAGAUUUGAAGAUGAUAAAUGAUGGUGAAUUCUAAAGGCUGAGUCAGGAUUAGGGGGUUGAAAUAUUUGGCAAAGUUGAAAGUGUGUCUCUUGGAAAAGGUGAAAUUGUGAGCAAGGACUUGAAAGAGGUAAUAAGAUGGUCAAGAGCAUAUCUGGGCAAAGUUCUGGCAGAAGCUAUAACUAAAGCAAAAGCCCUGAACUGAGAGUCUUCCAGGAAAAUAGGAACAAAUAUAAGGGUAUGGCUAGGGAGAGAUGUGGCCUGGUCCUUUGGUAGGAAGUUCAUGGAAUGUAGGAUUAAAAUAUUGAGGCUAGGGGACACUCUAAGAUUCUGUCUUUUACUCUAGGUAGAAUGAAGAGUCAUCGAAAAGUUUUGACUAGAAGAAAGACAUGACGUGAUCAAUAUUUUUAAUUGUGCAAUUUAAUUUCAAUACAUGCAAAAUACGCAUCACAUAAAAUUUUUCAUCAAAACUAAUUUUAAGUGGAGUUUAGUAUAUUCAUAUUGUUGUGCAGCCCAUCUCUGGAACUCUUCAUUUUGCAAAACUUGACCCUCUACACCCGUUAAAUAAUACACUUCCAUUUCCCUUCCACCUCUCCCACCAACCCUUGGCAACCACCAUUCUACUUUCUCUGUGACUUUAAUUAUUCUAGUUACUUUUAUAAUAAUUAGAUACAGUAUCUCUUUGUGACUGGUUUAUUUCACUUAGCAUGUCUUCAUAGUUCAUUCAUAUUGCAGUAUAUGUCAGAAUUUCUGUCCUUUUUAAGGCUGAACAAUAUUCAGUUGUAUGUAUAUACCUCCUCUAUGGAUGAACAAUUGGGUUGCUCCAUCUAUUGGCUAUUGUGAAGAAUGCUCCUAGAAUCCUAAGUGUUCAAACAUGUCUUUAAGACCUUCCUUUCAAUUCUUUGCAUCAUAUGAAAAUUCUAUUUUAAUUUUUUUAAGCAAACAUCCAGUUGCUUUUCAUAUCAAGUACACAAUCUUACGUCCCAUCAACCGUGUAUGUAUAAUUUAGCCAGGAAAUGCAUGCAGUGGAGCUUGUAUGUGUGUGAAAAAUUCAAGACAGAAGGAAGAGGCUUUGCAAGAAAGAGAGAGAGAGGGGGGAAGGAAGGGAAAGUAGGACAGGAAGAAAAAAGUUGAGGAGAGGAAAGGAGAGAGAUUUUAAAUUCUAAAUGCUGUGAGUGUGACCCUAAAAAGCAAAAUAAAUAAAUAAUUGGAACAUUAAAAUCAAAAGGAGAUAAAGAGAGCCCAGAAGAGAGAAGAUCAUGUGAGGCAUAAAAAUUUGGACUUUACCUUCAGUGUAAUAAAGAGCAAUUGAUCAGGAAAAUACAAAUCAAAAUCACAGUAUCACCUCACACCUGUUAUGGCUACUAUCAAAAAAGAAAUAAAUGUUGGUGAGGAUGUGGAGAAAAGGGAAUCAAUCCUUGUACAGGCUUGGUGGGAAUAUAAACUGGUAUGGCCACUGUAGAAAACAACAUGGAGGUUCAUUUAAAAAGUAAAAAUCAAACUACCAUAAGGUCCAGCAAUUCUACUUCUGGGUAUUACCCAAAGAAAGUGAAAACACUAAUUCAAAAAGAUAACUUCACUUCCAUGUUCAUUGCAGCAUUGUUUACAUUAGCCACUAAGUGUCCAUCAAUGGAUGAAUGCAUAAAAACAAUGUGGUAUUUGUAUACAAUGGAAUGUUAGCCAUAAAAAGAAUGAAAUCUUGUCAUUUGUGGCAUUAUGCUAAAUGAAAUAAUUCAGAUAGAGAAAAGUAAAUACCAUAUGAUCUCAACUUAUGUGAAAAAUCUAGAAAAAAAUGAGCUCAUAGAUGCAGAGAGAACAGAUUGGUGGUUGUCAAAGGCAAGAGGUGAGUGUGAGUGAAAUGGGUGAAGAGUAUCAAAAGGUACAAAUUUUCAGUUAUAAAAUAAACAAAUCAUGGGUUGUAAUGUACAUCACAGAGACUACAGUUAUUUUUAAAAGCUAGUGAACACUUUUAAGCUGAGUAGUAAGGCAUGUGUAAGAUUUGCCUUUUAGAAAAAUCACUGUCUGCAGUGUGGGGAGUGAGUUGAUUGAAAGAAGAUUGACUAGAGAAAAGGAUACCCCCUAUUAAGCUAUUGAAAAUGAAAUAAUGGACUGAAUUAGGUGAAUCAUAGAGCCAAUAAAGAAAGUGAUGGAUUGACUUGUGCCUAAGAAUUCUAGGGUGAGGGAAAAGGUGCCUUCAAGGAUGAUACUCAGAUCUGCAGUUUUAACCAGUGGAUGGAAGGUGAGAUGGAGCAGACUGAUAGAAAAAAGAUGAGUUCAGUUUUACAACAGUUGACUUGGAUGAGCUCAUGGAAUAUCCAAGAAACAUCUUGUAAAAAGGAAGUGUUCUAAACCAAAAAUUUAUGAGAGAGGUUGCAUGUGGAAAGAUGAACUUCGGGGUCAUCAACAUGGAGAUAGAGCCACAGCAAUAAAUAAUGGAGAUGUUUCCCAGAAAGUGUGCAAAUUGAAAUGAGAAGACAAUCUAAGAGGGAACCCUGAGAAAUACCAAAAUUUGGGGAUUCUACAAAGAAAUCUAGAUCUCUACCAAUGAGAUACAGUUAAGGAACCAAAGAGGAGACCAAGAGGUCAAAGGAGGGAAGAUUUCAGUGAUUUAUUAGCCAGGCAGCCAGUCUUUGCUGGCUCUGGCUGGAACAGUGUCUCUGCGUAGCAAGAGCAAAAACCAAAUGUAAAAAGUUUAGAGAAUGAGCGAAGUUGAGAAUUAGAGGAAGUGAUUAUAGACAAUGCCUGCAAAAGAUUUAGUUCUGAAGCAGUGGUGAUAAAGGACAGUGCCUGGUGGAAGGUGGAAGGCUGAGGGACAGGUUUUAGACUGUGAUGACCCAGAACUAUUCAUUGGAUAAUGAAAAGGAAAAGAAAGAAAGGAAAGCUUGACCAUAAAGGAGAGUGUAUUUGUCUGCUCAAGCUAAUAUAACAAAAUACCAUGGACAGGGGUAGCUUAUAAACAGACACCUCUUUCUUGCAGUUCUGGCGGCUAACAUGUCAAAAUCACUUGCUGGUAGAUUUGGGGCUUGGCGAAGCCUUACUUUCUGGCUUGCAGAGAGUAACUUCCUUGCUCUGUUCUCAUAUGGCAGAGAGAAGAAUCUCUUCUUGCCUCAUAAGGGCAUUAAUCUCAUCAUGGAGGCUCUAGUUUCAUGACAUAAGGUAAACCUCAUUACCUUCCAAAGGCCCCACCUCCUAGUACCAUCACAUUGGGGGUUAGGUCUUCCAUGUACAAAUUUGAGAGGAACGCAAACAUUCAGUCAUUGCAGCAGAUAGGAUCAUAAGUACAGAUACAGGAGUUAAUCUUUAACCAGGAAGAUUACUUCUCUUCCCUGGGACAUCUAUUUGUAGAGUUGGUGAUAGGAAAUUGGACUUAUAAUUUCUCUCUGACCAAAUUGGAUAAUUACCAGCCAAUAGGGAGUACAGCAGGAUUAAAGAUUUGAGGAGAGAGUGGAGAAGCCUCACUAGGGAAACACAGAAGGUAGUGAACACCUAGAUGAGUUUGGGCAUACACAUGUACAGUUAGGAGUUAAUCUUUAAUAAUACUCAGCUGUCUGGGUUAUACUUUGGAAAAUGGAACCCUUGAACUGAGCAUUUGCCAAAAGAAUGGUUAAAAAGGCGAUGGGAUUAGGGUGUAAAGAAAAUUGGCAAGAGAAUGGGUUGAAAUGACAUCAAAGCAAG